AGUGAACGCUGGCGGUAGGCCUAGCACAUGCAGGUCGAACGGCAGCACAGUAAGAGCUUGCUCUUACGGGUGGCGAGUGGCGGACGGGUGAGGAAUACAUCGGAAUCUACUUUUUCGUGGGGGAUAACGUAGGGAAACUUACGCUAAUACCGCAUACGACCUACGGGUGAAAGCAGGGGAUCUUCGGACCUUGCGCGAUUGAAUGAGCCGAUGUCGGAUUAGCUAGUUGGCGGGGUAAAGGCCCACCAAGGCGACGAUCCGUAGCUGGUCUGAGAGAAUGAUCAGCCACACUGGAACUGAGCCACGGUCCAGACUCCUACGGGAGGCAGCAGUGGGGAAUAUUGGACAAUGGGCGCAAGCCUGAUCCAGCCAUACCGCGUGGGUGAAGAAGGCCUUCGGGUUGUAAAGCCCUUUUGUUGGGAAAGAAAAGCAGCAGGUUAAUACCCCGCUGUUCUGACGGUACCCAAAGAAUAAGCACCGGCUAACUUCGUG
rnacentral:rRNA from 1 species